AGCCAGACUCCUACGGGAGGCAGCAGUGGGGAAUAUUGGACAAUGGGGGGAACCCUGAUCCAGCGACGCCGCGUGAGUGAAGAAGUAUUUCGGUAUGUAAAGCUCUAUCAGCAGGGAAGAAAGAAAUGACGGUACCUGACUAAGAAGCCCCGGCUAACUACGUGCCAGCAGCCGCGGUAAUACGUAGGGGGCAAGCGUUAUCCGGAUUUACUGGGUGUAAAGGGAGCGUAGACGGCCAUGCAAGCCAGGGGUGAAAGCCCGGGGCCCAACCCCGGGACUGCCCUUGGAACUGCAUGGCUGGAGUGUCGGAGAGGCAGGCGGAAUUCCUAGUGUAGCGGUGAAAUGCGUAGAUAUUAGGAGGAACACCAGUGGCGAAGGCGGCCUGCUGGACGAUGACUGACGUUGAGGCUCGAAAGCGUGGGGAGCAAACAGGAUUAGAUACCCGGGUACCA
rnacentral:rRNA from 1 species